CGUGUAGGCGGUCAGGUAAGUGAGACGUGAAAUGCCUCGGCUCACCCGAGGAGCGGCGUCUCAUACUGCUUGGCUUGAGUACGGGAGAGGAUGUGGGAAUUCCUGGUGUAGCGGUGAAAUGCGUAGAUAUCAGGAGGAACACCGGUGGCGAAGGCGCACAUCUGGCCCGAUACUGACGCUGAGGCGCGAAAGCUAGGGGAGCAAACG
rnacentral:rRNA from 1 species